AUGCAUGAGCAACCUAUCAACAUUGUGAGUUGGAACGUGAGAGGGGUAAAUUGCCCAGACCGCAGGGCUACUGCUAAGGCAAUAAUCAAGGGCACCUCAUGUCACCUUGUCUGCCUCCAAGAAACAAAGAUCAACUCCAUCGACAUGUUCAUUGCGGCUUCCAUUGGCAGAAAUAGGCUUCGUGGCUUCGCACAACGGCCGGCUGAGGGGACCCGUGGUGGCAUCCUCUUGCUUUGGGAUCAAGGCCUCCUGGAGGUCUCUGACAUUGCCACAUCUUCUUAUUGUCUGUCGGCCACGGUACGCAUCCGGGAUACUGGAGCUACAUUCAAAACCACUUCGGUGUAUGGUCCUGCCGACUCGGCGUGCAAGGAUGCCUUUUUUGCAGAGCUCCUCAGCCACAAGCCGCUGCCGGGAGUCGCCUGGUUGGCCUCAGGUGACUUCAAUCAAAUUUAUCGUGCUAGGGACAAAAAUAAGAGAAACGUGAACACAAGUAGGAUCAACCGCUUCCAUGCGAUGCUGCAGUCUUGUGAGCUUAAGGAAAUCCAUCUUCAGAACAAGCGCUUCACCUGGAGUAACGAGCGAUCCAAUCCAACCCUGUGCAAGCUAGACUCUUUCUUCUACAAUGUAGAGUGGGACACCACAUACAACACCCACGUUCUCCACACGCUUUCAUCCUCCUUGUCGGACCACUACCCGCUGCUCCUGGCAGAUGACAAAGGACCCAGACGUCCCCGCUCCUUCAAAUUUGAAAACAUUUGGGUCUCCUUGCCUAGGUUCGUUGAGGUGAUCCAAACGGCCUGAAACGAGCAUGUGCCCCACUCAGAGCCCUAUCAAGUCCUUCAUCAUAAGCUCAGAAAAACUGCCCUCCACCUUUCGGAAUGGAGUAGAAAAAUGUUCUCGAAGGCCAACGUCCAACUCCAUGCGGCUCUGUUGGUCAUCCUUCGGUUGGACAUUGCUCAAGAGACGCGUCUCCUCUCCCCCGCCGAGUCCGACCUUCGGGCUAGAUUAAAACGGCGAGUCAUUAGCCUGGCGGUCCUUCAGAGAGCUAGGAAGAGCCAGUGUGCGAGGGUGGCCAACCUCAAAGAAGGGGAUGCGAACACAAAUUUUUUCCAUCGCCGUGUCAAUGACAGGAGAAGAAAAAACCAUAUUCACCACAUCAAACAGUCUCACGGUUGGGUGACUGAGCAUGGGCAGAAGGAAACAAUCAUCCACGACCACUUCUCCGAGGUCAUGGGCGGAUUGGAACCAAUAGUAACGUUGUGA
rnacentral:rRNA from 1 species